GACGAACGCUGGCGGCGUGCUUAACACAUGCAAGUCGAACGGAAAGGCCCUGCUUUUGUGGGGUGCUCGAGUGGCGAACGGGUGAGUAACACGUGAGUAAACUGCCCUUGACUUUGGGAUAACUUCAGGAAACUGGGGCUAAUACCGGAUAGGAGCUCCUGCUGCAUGGGGGGGGUUGGAAAGUUUCGGCGGUUGGGGAUGGACUCGAGGCUUAUCAGCUUGUUGGUGGGGUAGUGGCUUACCAAGGCUUUGACGGGUAGCCGGCCUGAGAGGGUGACCGGCCACAUUGGGACUGAGAUACGGCCCAGACUCCUACGGGAGGCAGCAGUGGGGAAUAUUGCACAAUGGGCGGAAGCCUGAUGCAGCAACGCCGCGUGCGGGAUGACGGCCUUCGGGUUGUAAACCGCUUUCGCCUGUGACGAAGCGUGAGUGACGGUAAUGGGUAAAGAAGCACCGGCUAACUACGUG
rnacentral:rRNA from 1 species